rnacentral:rRNA from 1 species
AACGAGCGCUGGCGGCAUGCCUAACACAUGCAAGUCGAACGAAGCCUUCGGGCUUAGUGGCGCACGGGCGCGUAACACGUGGGAAUCUGCCCUCAGGUACGGAAUAACUCAGGGAAACUUGAGCUAAUACCGUAUGAUGUCUUCGGACAAAGAUUUAUCGCCUGAGGAUGAGCCCGCGUCGGAUUAGCUAGUUGGUGGGGUAAAGGCCUACCAAGGCGACGAUCCGUAGCUGGUCUGAGAGGAUGAUCAGCCACACGGGGACUGAGACACGGCCCAGACUCCUACGGGAGGCAGCAGUGGGGAAUAUUGGACAAUGGGCGAAAGCCUGAUCCAGCAAUGCCGCGUGAGUGAAGAAGGCCUUCGGGUUGUAAAGCUCUUUUACCCGGGAAGAUAAUGACUGUACCGGGAGAAUAAGCCCCGGCUAACUCCGUGCCAGCCGCCGCGGUAACAC